UACGAAGGGGGCUAGCGUUGCUCGGAAUCACUGGGCGUAAAGGGUGCGUAGGCGGGUCUUUAAGUCAGGGGUGGAAUCCUGGAGCUCAACUCCAGAACUGCCUUUGAUACUGAAGAUCUCGAGUCCGGGAGAGGUGAGUGGAACUGCGAGUGUAGAGGUGAAAUUCGUAGAUAUUCGCAAGAACACCAGUGGCGAAGGCGGCUCACUGGCCCGGUACUGACGCUGAGGCACGAAAGCGUGGGGAGCGAACAGG
rnacentral:rRNA from 1 species